CACUCCUGCGGGAGGCAGCAGUGGGGAAUUUUGGACAAUGGGCGCAAGCCUGAUCCAGCCAUGCCGCGUGCGGGAAGAAGGCCUUCGGGUUGUAAACCGCUUUUGUCAGGGAAGAAAAGGUUCUGGCUAAUACCUGGGACUCAUGACGGUACCUGAAGAAUAAGCACCGGCUAACUACGUGCCAGCAGCCGCGGUAAUACGUAGGGUGCAAGCGUUAAUCGGAAUUACUGGGCGUAAAGCGUGCGCAGGCGGUUAUGCAAGACAGAGGUGAAAUCCCCGGGCUCAACCUGGGAACUGCCUUUGUGACUGCAUGGCUAGAGUACGGUAGAGGGGGAUGGAAUUCCGCGUGUAGCAGUGAAAUGCGUAGAUAUGCGGAGGAACACCGAUGGCGAAGGCAAUCCCCUGGACCUGUACUGACGCUCAUGCACGAAAGCGUGGGGAGCAAACAGGAUUAGAAACCCCGGUAGUCCCAUG
rnacentral:rRNA from 1 species